rnacentral:rRNA from 1 species
UACGGAGGGUGCAAGCGUUAUCCGGAUUCACUGGGUUUAAAGGGUGCGUAGGCGGACUUGUAAGUCCGGGGUGAAAUCUCUGAGCUUAACUCAGAAACUGCCUUGGAUACUAUAGGUCUUGAAUGUUGUGGAGGAUAGCGGAAUAUGUCAUGUAGCGGUGAAAUGCAUAGAUAUGACAUAGAACACCAAUUGCGAAGGCAGCUGUCUACACAGAUAUUGACGCUGAGGCACGAAAGCGUGGGGAUCAAAC